UGUACCUUGUCACAGACAAAGUAAUAGUGGCUGGCUCGCGCCCCUAAAAGCCCUCGCGCCCUCUGUAGUGCCGGUGCACGUGCGCGAUGUGGGUCGCAAACUUUUGAGCGCGCGCCGAUUUUGCCCGCCAAUUUCACUUUGCCUUGGAGUCACACACCGCGCCGUCGUAAUGGAGGGGACGGUGUCAAGGACAUUGUUAGGUUAGCACGUAAAAAACAUCCGUAGACAUAUCUGAAGGGCCAUUUAGAGUAAAACUGUCAACUGAAACCAAAGAAGUAAAACCUGUCGAGGUUUAACACCAUAAAAGGAAGGACAGGUGUAUUUAACACAGAGAUAAGUAAAUUCUGUCAUUUCGUAUAUUUUUUUUUAAUCGUCGCUAGAUAAUGAAUGGGAAAAAUAAGCCCGUGGGGUGUUAUCUAUCUGUUAGCUUGCAGGUAUAUCAGGGCAGUUCCAGUGCUAUGGAUGUGCAGUGUUUCCUGUGGAACGAGAGGGGAGAAAUGUGUAGCUACUGAAAAGAGCAGACAACAGACAAUUUGACAGUUACAACUCCGCUUUUUUGCAAAUUAAGUCUUCACAAUUUCCCCGUCUCCAGCGCUUCACUGAACAACAUAACAACCUAAAUGUGGGGCGUCCUAAGCACCAACCAUUCGCCAGCAUUAUUUUCUCCCGUAUUCCCUGCCCUCCUGUGAUAAGAUUGUCAGUAUUUCUUUUUACUGCUUCGUCCCUCAGGUGAACAUAAUUGUGGUGAAUCUCCAUGAGAUUUUUUUUAAUAUAUAACAAUAAACUCAGAGGGAACUUAACUUCUCUUCAGUAGCAGACCUUGGCAGUUUCAAUUGGCCACAUGUUGCUUAGCUACAGAGCUGAUUAUAUAUUUUUUCUGUGUCCUGUUU